GUGCCAGCAGCCGCGGUAAUACAGAGGGGGCAAGCGUUAUUCGGAAUCAUUGGGCGUAAAGGGCGCGUAGGCGGCCGAGCAAGUCUUGGGUGAAAUCCCUCGGCUUAACCGAGGAACUGCCUUGGAAACUGCUUGGCUUGAGGCCGGGAGAGGGUGGUGGAAUUCCCAGUGUAGCGGUGAAAUGCGUAGAUACUGGGAGGAACACCAGUGGCGAAGGCGGCCACCUGGACCGGUCCUGACGCUGAGGCGCGAAAGCGUGGGGAGCAAACAGGAUUAGAAACCCCUGUAGUCC
rnacentral:rRNA from 1 species